CAAUAGCGUAUAUUAAAGCUGUUGCGGUUAAAAAGCUCGUAGUUGGAUUUCUGUCAAGGACAACUGGUCCGCCCCUCGGGUGAGCACAUAGUUUGGUCUUGGCAUCUUGUUGGAAACUGUUGCUGCACUUGGUUGUGUGGCGCAGUGUCCAGCACUUUCACUUUGAGGAAAUUGGAGUGUUUCAAGCAGGCACAUGCCUUUGGACACAGUAGCAUGGAAUAAUUAGAUUGGGCUUUUGCUCCAACUUGUCGGUUUCUGGAGCUGAGGUGAGAAUUAAUGGGGAUUGUUGGGGGCAUCCGAACUUAGCCGUCAGAGGUGAAAUUCUUGGAUCUGCUAAAGACGGACAACUGCGAAAGCGUUUGCCCAGGAUGUUUUCAUUGA
rnacentral:rRNA from 1 species